rnacentral:rRNA from 1 species
UACUCGAGUGGCGAACGGGUGAGUAACACGUGGGUGAUCUGCCCUGCACUUCGGGAUAAGCUUGGGAAACUGGGUCUAAUACCGGAUAGGAGCCAUCUUUAGUGUGGUGGUUGGAAAGUUUUUUCGGUGUAGGAUGAACUCGCGGCCUAUCAGCUUGUUGGUGGGGUAAUGGCCUACCAAGGCGGCGACGGGUAGCCGGCCUGAGAGGGUGUGCGGUCACAUUGGGACUGAGAUACGGCCCAG